ensembl:lncRNA
CAGUGGGUCCUGUUGGUUAUAGUUUAAACUCAGUAAAGACCAGCAUCAGAUCUCCAAUUCAGAGUUAGACAUCCCAGAAAAAAAAAAAAAUUUUUUUUUAAUUCUAGGCAAGUGAUGGACACAGAGGGAUUGUUCCAGUUAAGUGAAAAUCCAGAAAGCUGGCUGAUCCCAUGAGGUCAAGCUCCCAAUCUCCAUCCUCCCUCCGCUGUGUGGAGCCCCCUGGUCUGAGACUCAGAGCUGCCAUCCUGGAUCUCACCACCAGCUCUUCACGACAGUGGCCCAGCUCAUAUCAGGUGCCUCAAGGAGUCAGGUUGUGAGGUUCUGUGUCCUGAUGGCUGCUGAAGCUUCCAUUCCAGACUCAAGGGCAGCAGUCCUCAGGAGACCCCAAAACUUCACAUCCCUGGUGGGAUAUGAACCCUGGAUCAAGUGGGUUCAUUGAUAUGAAGAAUAUCAUGUAGUAUAACAGCUCCGGUAAGGCUCACAAACUAGGCUGAAUGUAGAGAAGCCACUUUGAUCUCAUGAUGGGAGAAGAGGUUUAGCAGGUGGAAUUUCAUUUGGUCAGCAGCUACAAGCUUAGUGUAAUAGCCCUUGAGCCCCAUCUUAGAGAAAUCUGCCAUUGUCUGAAAGCAGUGAAUGGUUCCAACUUGACGAACACUUGUUCUUUAACAUGCACUUGCAAUAAAUACACAUAUAUUUUUUCUUGCUGUAGAAAUGAUUAAUCCUACGUUCUCUCUGAGAAUGUGAAAAUAUGCAUUAGUUUGAAGGGUUCCUAGCAAUUUGAGAUUCUAACAUGUCUUCUUUCCUGGUAACCGUGGUUUUAUCUGUUUGGUAAAGAGAAUUUUUUAGGAGCCUAAAAUUUUUCAAGUGUUAGUUUAAAAUGUCAGUUAAAAGGAUUUGGAAUUUUAUAAAAUAAUAAUGACCUGUGGGUCUUUGCCCUAUUAUCGUGAUACCAAGUAAUAUCGCUUAUAAUAAUCGGAAAUUCUUAAACAUCAUUAUGAUUAUAUUCCCAGGACAUCACAUUUAGAUUUAUAGUUGCCAACCACACCAUGCCCCGUCCCCGAGCGACCACCAAUCUUUUGUCAGUAGAUUAGUUUUGAUUUCCUAUAAUUUUAUGUCCGUGGAAUCAUACAGGUUGCAUUUUAUUCUCAUCUGGCUUGUUAUGUUCAGCCAUUUAUUUGUUUAUCAAUUUAAAUUAUCUUUUAUUUGACAAAAAUAUAUGAAACAUUUAUGAACGUUUGGGAAAUACUUUCUUGAAUAUUUAAUACCUAAUAUAUAUUAAAGAAGACUUCUGUUUAGGAAUCAUGUAGAUUACCAUUUCUUUUGUGAAUCACCAAAUUAUCCAAUUCGUAUACACUGAAGUAGAAAAACAUACGGGAUUCUCUUCAGAUUUAAGAUUAUAGUAAAUAUUUAAUAUGUGACUAUAACAAGGUGGAGUUAUGAAACUGUCCCCAAGAAGGGAAAAUAGAAAUAUUAGCCUUUCUUUCUUUUAUAAAGGAAAAUGUUGUGCUUUGAUGAUGAUAAAAACCAAACCAUAGGAAUUGCUUGUUUUGUUUCCUACAUACAUAUUUAACUGAAGAAUAGUCAAGUAAUUAAGAAAAUAAUAAUCAUAUAUUUUUAAUUUCAGAAAUUUAUUUUAUACACAUUCCAUGUAACGUAUGUCUUUAGAUAUACUUUCUUGCAUCUAUAUGGGCUGACAAAUAUGUAAAUUUUACGCUACAUACAUCUAUUCAUUGAAAAGAAUUUGUUCAAACAUAUUUUAUACAUGUUAGCAAUAAUCUUUAUCGUCAUUUCAAUAACCUCUGUCUUAUCUGUUUUUUUUUUUAUUUCUUUUAAAAGAUUACCAGUAUGGAAUAAAAUAAAGAUUACAAGUAUGAAAUAAAAUAGUGUGUAAUUAUAAUGUUCCAAUUUCUGAUAUGGUUAAAUAUAUCGACUGAACACAUUUUCUAAUAUGCC